CCUACGGGUGGCUGCAGUGAGGAAUAUUGGUCAAUGGGCGGAAGCCUGAACCAGCCAAGUAGCGUGCGGGAUGAAGGCCCUACGGGUCGUAAACCGCUUUUGCACGGGGAUAACACCCUCCACUUGUGGAGGUCUGCAGGUACCGUGCGAAUAAGGGCCGGCUAAUUCCGUGCCAGCAGCCGCGGUAAUACGGAAGGCCCGAGCGUUAUCCGGAUUCAUUGGGCUUAAAGGGAGCGUAGGCGGGGUGUUAAGUCAGCUGUAAAAUUUGGCGGCUCAAACCGCGCACUGCAGUUGAAACUGGACGCCUUGAGUUCACAAGAGGCAGGCGGAAUUCGUGGUGUAGCGGUGAAAUGCAUAGAUAUCACGAGGAACCCCGAUUGCGAAGGCAGCCUGCCGGAGUGCGACUGACGCUGAGGCUCGAAAGUGCGGGUAUCAAACAGGAUUAGAUACCCGGGUAGUC
rnacentral:rRNA from 1 species